rnacentral:rRNA from 1 species
GUCCACGCUGUAAACGAUGUCAACUAGAUGUAGGGGGUGUUGAUCCCUUCUGUGUCGCAGCUAACGCAUUAAGUUGACCGCCUGGGGAGUACGGUCGCAAGAUUAAAACUCAAAGGAAUUGACGGGGACCCGCACAAGCGGUGGAUGAUGUGGUUUAAUUCGAUGCAACGCGAAAAACCUUACCCACCUUUGACAUGUACGGAAUCCUUUAGAGAUAGAGGAGUGCUCGAAAGAGAGCCGUAACACAGGUGCUGCAUGGCUGUCGU